AGCGCCGGGCCAAUGUCCUAUCUCAGGGUUUCCCACGUCGCUCGCUCCUUGACGGCUGACCGACACUGGGUCUGAGGUGUAAGCGCUUUCCAGGCCCUUCCCUGGGGCUUGGAGGGGAAUGGCGCAAAGGACUUUUCUUACAAGCAGAGCCACUGCAGUUACCAAAGAGUAUGUCGCUUAUUGUCUAAGAGGUUGGACUCCUGAAAGCCUGGACAGUGUCAUCAUCUUCACCUGAAGAGUGGAAAAAUUCAAGCAAAGAGUUUCUCAGGAAAUGACCAAGUAAAACAUCUGGAGUAAGUCAGCAGGAUUCACAGUGACUCCCCCCAACCAGCUGGUGGUGUUUCUCUCUGAAAGCAGCGCUUGGUACCAGUGUGAACUCUCUUCCUUCAGAAGUCUCAUCAGGUGUUUCAGAUGAGUUCUCCGGAAUUUGGACCUCCUACUCUUGGGUUGAAGGUCUAGACUUUAUUUGGGCUGUUUUUCAAACCCUUUCUUUAAGUGUGAGGGCUUCGGUCUCUGUCUUUGGACAGAAGAUUCGGGUAUAGAGCUCUGCAGGGAACUGCCUUUUUUCCCUCUCUGUCUUACAGCAGAGGUGCAGGUCAUGGUUUUUCUGCCUCUGCCUCAGAACCAGGGGUUUGGGUCAAGUUUUUUUCACCUCUGUCUCACAGCAGAGGUUUGAGUGAAAGAACUGGCAGUUAGGCACCAGUGGUUUCAUUUUAUAUCGUAUGUGUUUGAGAUAGCAGUUGUUUACUAUCACUUGAAAAUUCUGAAUUAGUCUUUAAUUUUAACUAAUUCCUGUUAGUUCCUAACUGAAAUGUGUACCCCUUUUGCUCUUCCAGGUGGACGUAAUACGAGGGUCUGGUCCCCCAUACCUUGAGGACUCCGCUGCCAUCUGACAAUUACAGACAAUCCAAUUGUCCUCAUCCUUGAGGACUCUGCUGCCAUCUGACAAUUAGAGACAGUCCAAAACAUGCCACACUUUGAUCCUAAACACAUUCCUGGCUUUGGUCACUUUUGAAAAGUUCCUGAGUUAUGAGAAAUCAAUAAUAAGAGUGUUCAAAACCUGAACACUCUUUUUAGAAAUACCUGCUGGAACUACAUAUAUGAUUUAUGGGGUACUGUCUUGUAGUAUCUGGGAAAGUAGACCCAUCUAACCUGGAAUGAUCAUAGGCAACAAUGACCAAAAAUGGGGAUCUUUUGAUAUACCUAAAGUAAUUUAUUUGUGCACACCAUUGGAAAGAGCUGGUUUUAGAACCAGACAUGUAAAUAAGAGACUGACUUCCACUGGCACCUAAAAACUUCUAAAAGAAAUCCUGAAAGAAAAAGUCACCUUCAUUCAAGAGGUAAACAAAGGGAUAUUUGAAACUAUGUUAAAAGACUUCAGAGGCUUUCUCCCUUUCACCUCCAGACCCUCCUUUUCCUUCCAGCCCUGUGAUCUGAACUCAUCCCUUUCUGCCGCUUCUCUUGGCUUCCAUACAUCUCUUAGGCAGAGAUGUUUUAAAAUUUCACAAUGUACACAUUUCCUUCUCUCAGGGGAAAUGAAUUUAAAUUUAGAGCAGAAGGAACAAGCAGAACAACAACAGAAUGGGAAUAAGACUGCUGAGACUAUAAAAAUGCAGAUCCAACAAAAUUUUUUCUCACCAGGUCUAGUGAAUGACACUGUGAUAUGGUCUGGCUCUGUGUUCCCAACAAAAUGUCAUCUCGAAUUGUAAUCCCCACGUGUCGGGGGAGAAGCCUGGUGGGAGAUGAUUGGAUCAUGGAGGCAGUUUCCCCCAUGCUGUUUUCAUGAUAGGGAGGGAGUUCUUACGAGAUGUGAUGGUUUAAAAGUGUUUGGCAGUGGCCGGGCGCGGUGGCUCACGCCUGUAAUCCCAGCACUUUGGGAGGCCGAGGCGGGUGGAUCAUGAGGUCAGGAGAUCGAGAC
rnacentral:lncRNA from 1 species